rnacentral:rRNA from 1 species
GACGAACGCUGGCGGCGUGCUUAACACAUGCAAGUCGAGCGAUGAAGUUUCUUCGGAAAUGGAUUAGCGGCGAACGGGUGAGUAACACGUGAGGAAUCUGCCCUUCACUUUGGAAUAACUCCGGGAAACCGGAGCUAAUACCGGAUACGAACUCUGGCGGCAUCGCCGGAGUUGGAAAGUUUUUCGGUGAAGGAUGACCUCGCGGCCUAUCAGCUUGUUGGUGAGGUAAUGGCUCACCAAGGCGACGACGGGUAGCCGGCCUGAGAGGGCGACCGGCCACACUGGGACUGAGACACGGCCCAGACUCCUACGGGAGGCAGCAGUGGGGAAUAUUGGGCGAUGGGCGAAAGCCUGACCCAGCCAUGCCGCGUGAAUGAUGAAGGUCUUAGGAUUGUAAAAUUCUUUCACCGGGGACGAUAAUGACGGUACCCGGAGAAGAAGCCCCGGCUAACUUCGUGCCAGCAGCCGCGGUAA